rnacentral:rRNA from 1 species
UACGGAGGAGGCAAGCGUUAUCCGGAAUUAUUGGGCGUAAAGCGUCCGCAGGUGGCAAUGUAAGUCUGCUGUCAAAGCGUCUGGCUCAACCAGAUACAGGCAGUGGAAACUACAUAGCUAGAGUAAGGUAGGGGUAGAGGGAAUUCCUGGUGUAGCGGUGAAAUGCGUAGAGAUCAGGAAGAACACCGGUGGCGAAGGCGCUCUGCUGGACCUUAACUGACACUGAGGGACGAAAGCUAGGGGAGCGAAUGGG